rnacentral:rRNA from 1 species
AUUGAACGCUGGCGGCAGGCCUAACACAUGCAAGUCGAGCGGAUGAAGGGAGCUUGCUCCUGGAUUCAGCGGCGGACGGGUGAGUAAUGCCUAGGAAUCUGCCUGGUAGUGGGGGAUAACGUCCGGAAACGGGCGCUAAUACCGCAUACGUCCUGAGGUAGAAAGUGGGGGAUCUUCGGACCUCACGCUAUCAGAUGAGCCUAGGUCGGAUUAGCUAGUUGGUGGGGUAAAGGCCUACCAAGGCGACGAUCCGUAACUGGUCUGAGAGGAUGAUCAGUCACACUGGAACUGAGACACGGUCCAGACUCCUACGGGAGGCAGCAGUGGGGAAUAUUGGACGAUGGGCGAAAGCCUGAUCCAGCCAUGCCGCGUGUGUGAAGAAGGUCUUCGGAUUGUAAAGCACUUUAAGUUGGGAGGAAGGGCAGUAAGUUAAUACCUUGCUGUUUUGACGUUACCAACAGAAUAAGCACCGGCUAACUUCGUG